CCUACGGUGGGCUGCAGUGGGGGAUAUUGCACAAUGGGGGAAACCCUGAUGCAGCGACGCCGCGUGGGCGAAGAAGUAUUUCGGUAUGUAAAGCCCUAUCAGCAGGGAAGAAGAAAUGACGGUACCUGAGUAAGAAGCACCGGCUAAAUACGUGACAGCAGCCGCGGUAAUACGUAUGGUGCAAGCGUUAUCCGGAUUUACUGGGUGUAAAGGGAGUGCAGGCGGCACGGCAAGCCUGAUGUGAAAGCCCGGGGCCCAACCGCGGGACUGCAUUUGAAACUGCCCGGCUGGUGUGCCGGAGAGGUAGGCGGAAUUCGUAGUGUAGCGGUGAAAUGCGUAGAUAUUAGGAGGAACACCAGUGGCGAAGGCGGCCUACUGGACGGUGACUGACGCUGAGGCUCGAAAGCGUGGGGAGCAAACAGUAUUAGAUACCCUUGUAGUC
rnacentral:rRNA from 1 species